rnacentral:sRNA from 1 species
AAAAAGUUUCUUGUUUAUGUUGCUGAUUUGGAUUAUUUGUUCAGCUCCGUUAGAGUAGAAAGGGAAACAAACAAUCAAGUGUCGUUAGCUCAAUUGGUAAAGAUCUAGGCGAAGUUUAAAGGUCGCCGGUUCGAAUGACGCUUGAGACGAAACUAAUAUUACAUGUUGUGGUUUCGGGCCUGGGAGGAUUACGGGUUUCGGCCCAGAGCCUCUUAAUAUUUAAAAAAAAAGAAAGAAAAAAAAGAAAAAAGAAGGGAAACAAACAUCUCUUGACAAAUAGUAAGGCAAAGCAAUAUUUAGUCUUCAAACGAAAAUUUUGUUUGCUCUUCAUGUUAU